AGACGUUGAUGGCUCGUGACACAUUCAGAAUACACGGGCGUUGGUGACAGUGUGGGGUGACACCAGGCGACGUGGGGCGGGAUGCUGUCUGAAAUGGGGCGUGGCCUCUCACACACAGGCGGGAUUUCUAAUAAAAAAUAACUCCUUGCCUCUUUGGGCGGCGAGAUGCACAUACACACACACACACAUACACACAUAGCAUACACAUAAGCGAGAAUAGAGCAAAAAGAGAGCACGGACGUCCAGAGCACUUCCUCGUUUUCCUGUUGCACUUCAUGUUUCGAAGCU
ensembl:ncRNA T05B9.3 ncRNA